AACAUUGCAAUGAGUGGCGAACGGGUGAGUAACACGUGGGAAACCUACCUCUUAGCAGGGGAUAACAUUUGGAAACAAAUGCUAAUACCGUAUAAUAAUUAAAACCGCAUGGUUUUAGUUUAAAAGAUGGUCUUGCUAUCACUAAGAGAUGGUCCCGCGGUGUAUUAGUUAGUUGGUGAGGUAAUGGCUCACCAAGACAAUGAUACAUAGCCGAGCUGAGAGACUGACCGGCCACAAUGGGACUGAGACACGGCCCAUACUCCUACGGGAGGCAGCAGUAGGGAAUCUUCCACAAUGGACGAAAGUCUGAUGGAGCAACGCCGCGUGUGUGAUGAAGGGUUUCGGCUCGUAAAACACUGUCGUAAGAGAAGAAUGACAUUGAGAGUAACUGUUCAAUGUGUGACGGUAUCUUACCAGAAAGGAACGGCUAAAUACGUGCCAGCAGCCGCGGUAAUACGUAUGUUCCAAGCGUUAUCCGGAUUUAUUGGGCGUAAAGCGAGCGCAGACGGUUAUUUAAGUCUGAAGUGAAAGCCCUCGGCUCAACCGAGGAAUUGCUUUGGAAACUGGAUAACUUGAGUGCAGUAGGGGAAAGUGGAACUCCAUGUGUAGCGGUGAAAUGCGUAGAUAUAUGGAAGAACACCAGUGGCGAAGGCGGCUUUCUGGACUGUAACUGACGUUGAGGCUCGAAAGUGUGGUAGCAAACAGGAUUAGAUACCCUGGUAGUCCACACUGUAAACGAUGAGUGCUAGUUGUUCGAGGGUUUCCGCCCUUGAGUAACGAAGCUAACGCAUUAAGUACUCCGCCUGGGGAGUACGACCGCAAGGUUGAAACUCAAAGGAAUUGACGGGGACCCGCACAAGCGGUGGAGCAUGUGUUUAAUUCGAAGCAACGCGAAGAACCUUACCAGGUCUUGACAUCCUUUGACCACUCCAGAGAUGGAGCUUUCCCUUCGGGA
rnacentral:rRNA from 1 species